rnacentral:rRNA from 1 species
GAGUUUGAUUAUGGCUCAGGACGAACGCUGGCGGCGUGCCUAAUACAUGCAAGUGGAACGCAUUGAUUUCACCGGAGCUUGCUCCACCGAAAUUAGUGAGUCGCGAACGGGUGAGUAACGCGUAGGUAACCUACCUCUUAGCGGGGGAUAACUAUUGGAAACGAUAGCUAAUACCGCAUAACAAUAGGAUACACAUGUACCCUAUUUAAAAGGAGCAACUGCUUCACUAAGAGAUGGACCUGCGUUGUAUUAGCUAGUUGGUAGGGUAACGGCCUACCAAGGCAUCGAUACAUAGCCGACCUGAGAGGGUGAUCGGCCACACUGGGACUGAGACACGGCCCAGACUCCUACGGGAGGCAGCAGUAGGGAAUCUUCGGCAAUGGGGGGAACCCUGACCGAGCAACCGCCGCGUGAGUGAAGAAGGUUUUCGGAUCGUAAAGCUACUGUUGUAAGAGAAGAACGUGUGAGAGAGUGGAAAGUUCUCNNCAGUGA